rnacentral:rRNA from 1 species
CCUACGGGUGGCAGCAGUGGGGAAUAUUGCACAAUGGGGGAAACCCUGAUGCAGCGACGCCGCGUGAGUGAAGAAGUAUUUCGGUAUGUAAAGCUCUAUCAGCAGGGAAGAAAAAAGACGGUACCUGACUAAGAAGCCCCGGCUAACUACAUGCCAGCAGCCGAGGUAAUACGUAGGGGGCAAGCGUUAUCCGGCUUUACUGGGUGAAAAGGGUGCGUAGGCGGACUGUUAAGUCAGCGGGAAAGGCCCGGGGCUCAACCCCGGCGAGCCGUUGAAACUGGCUGUCUUGAGAUGUCGAGAGGUAUGCGGAAUGCGCAGUGUAGCGGUGAAAUGCUUAGAUAUUGCGCAGAACUCCGAUUGCGAAGGCAGCAUACCGGCGGCGAUCUGACGCUGAGGCACGAAAGCGUGGGUAUCGAACAGGAUUAGAUACCCCUGUAGUC